UACGAAGGGGGCUAGCGUUGCUCGGAAUCACUGGGCGUAAAGCGCACGUAGGCGGACUCUUAAGUCGGUGGUGAAAUCCUGGAGCUCAACUCCAGAACUGCCUUCGAUACUGGGAGUCUCGAGUCCGAGAGAGGUGAGUGGAACUCCUAGUGUAGAGGUGGAAUUCGUAGAUAUUAGGAAAGAACGACCAAGGUGGCGAA
rnacentral:rRNA from 1 species